CGGAGGGCGACGACUAGGGUUUGCCAAGCCGUCACCUUGGCCGCCCCCGUCGUCGUCAAAUCGGCCGGAUCCGCGAGGCCACCCACUCCCCCCUGCUCCGGCCACGAUUCUCCACUGCUUCGUUGACAGCAACGUCCGACAACGGCACCUCUUAUCCCCAAUCCUGGUCGCGCCGCCCGAAGCUCCGGUGGUGCCAGCUUCGAACAAGUCUACUCCGGCCCCAUCUGGUACCACUUCGCAGGUUUGAAUGGCAAGGGAAACCAUCCUCAUCAGCGGUGAAGAGAGUGAUCACUGGACCACCUCAGAUGAUGCUUCAGAUGGCACUUCACGUGGGAGUGGCGGCUAUAGCGGUGAUGACGACACCUCUAGCGACUAUGACACUGAUGAUAGUUCUGAUGGAGAUGGAGAUGUGGACCACGAUCCUAUCUUGGCACUACGGGGUAAAGUUCUAUAUGGCUGGUCAGAUAUUAAAUGAACCGUGAAAUAUCGAAAGUUGAUGUUUGAGUGACACUUGAUUACCACACAUUGCUCUGUUUGGGUUCUAGAUGACCUUCCAAAUCAACAUUGACUGAACUAGAGCUUACAUAGAGCAGUGUUUAGUUGUUAGUUUAAAUAAAUCAAAUAUUCAAUUUGCCCAUGUUUCUAUGAGAUAUUGCUGGGUGGAUGUGAUUGGGUUAUCUAUGUCCUUCAUUUCUUGAUCAUUGGAGUAGGCAUUGAUCAUUAACCCAGUGCUGAUGUUCUAGAUCUUACGUAUGAAAUUAUUUACUACUCUGUCAUCUUAAUUUUUUUUGAUACAGGUCCGGGAUACCUUGUGAGAAAAGGAACUUUCGAGGAUCGCAUCUUCUACGGCAACCAUGUAUCGCUAAACAAGGAUCGGUGGGACUGUCUCAAAUCCAUAGUAAAGAAGUGCCAACCUACCAUAUCAUACUAUGUCAGCACCGUCACUCGCUCGGCAGCCAUCAGAGGGAAGAGCAAGAUGUGCUUCUCAAAGGAUUACAGUCAGGACUACCUCAAAGAUUAUCUGCGAAAGCACAUGGUUGUGCGUGUCACCAACGAACAUUUUGAAGGUAAUAAAAAGGUCUUGUUCAAGAUGGGCAAGAAGGACGGGCGUGCGAUCAUGACGAAGAACUGGAGAGAAGUCGUUGAGGGCGCCAGAAUGAAAGAAGAUCAAAUGGCUAUCUUCAGGUUCAUGGAAAGGAGUGGAGGUGGGCUUAGGGUGAACAUGGUUAGUGGCAUGAGGAUUCGUUGACCCAUGGCAGUAGUUUGACGCUAGUUUUAUACUCUGUAUGUACUAGCCAGUAACUGCAAGUUGGUAGUAUCAGCUUUUGGGUCCAGUAAGUGCAACUUAGUAGUAAUUGGUACUUGGUAGUAACUGGUACUUUGGUGGUAUAACUUUUGGGUCCGACUGGAUAUGAAGAUCGUCCAGUAAGUGGAACUUGGCAGUAACUUGGUGGUAGUAUGAAUCCUAUGUGGCGUAAUGUACUUGCUAUGCAAGUCUAUAUAUAUAACGCACCCUGGUACCCUCCUUGAUAUAAUUACAUUUAUGGACUGCAAUUAUAUUUCCUUUUUUUGCCACAGUGAUGCUAGUAUUUUUAGAAUCAAAUCUAACCGGGUUUCAAAUGGAUUAGACACUACUUUCAUUUUUGAACAAGGUUUUUGUGUUGGCUAGUACGAGUUAUUUUGAAAAUGCGGUUUGUAUGUGUGUCGUACAAAAAAAUGCAAUGCAAAACAAAAACUUGCAGGUCGAAAUGCAAUGCAAAAAAUGAUGUUUCUGUUACUUUCGAGAUGGCAUGCUAUUUUCGAAAACAGAGCAAACCAGCAUGUUUUUUUAAUUUGAAAAACAUUAUACUAAAAAACAUGCUAUCUUUUAAAAAGCGUAAUUAAAAAAAUGAUGUUUUCAAAAUCAGCACGCUGCUUUCAAAACAGCAUAUUUAAAUACGCAUGUAAUU